UUAGGGUUAGUUUAAUGAAAAUUUUUAAUUUUGGUUUAAAAAAUAAUCCAAAAU
rnacentral:tRNA from 1 species